UGGGGAAUUUUGGACAAUGGGGGCAACCCUGAUCCAGCCAUGCCGCGUGCAGGAUGAAGGCCUUCGGGUUGUAAACUGCUUUUGUACGGAACGAAAAGCUCUCCUCUAAUAAAGGGGGGUCAUGACGGUACCGUAAGAAUAAGCACCGGCUAACUACGUGCCAGCAGCCGCGGUAAUACGUAGGGUGCAAGCGUUAAUCGGAAUUACUGGGCGUAAAGCGUGCGCAGGCGGUUUUGUAAGACAGAGGUGAAAUCCCCGGGCUCAACCUGGGAACUGCCUUUGUGACUGCAAGGCUGGAGUGCGGCAGAGGGGGAUGGAAUUCCGCGUGUAGCAGUGAAAUGCGUAGAUAUGCGGAGGAACACCGAUGGCGAAGGCAAUCCCCUGGGCCUGCACUGACGCU
rnacentral:rRNA from 1 species